GAUCCUGGCUCAGGAUAAACGCUGGCGGCGUGCAUGAGACAUGCAAGUCGAACGGACGAGUGGGCUUGCUCACUCGUUAGUGGCGGACGGCUGAGUAACGCGUAGGUGACCUGCCCCGAAGUGGGGAAUAACUGCCCGAAAGGGUGGCUAAUACCGCAUGUGGUGGUGCGUUCGUUCGCACCAGUAAAGCCGCAAGGCGCUUCGGGAGGGGCCUGCGUCCGAUUAGCUCGUUGGUGGGGUAACGGCUCACCAAGGCGACGAUCGGUAGGUGGUCUGAGAGGACGAUCACCCAGACUGGGACUGAGACACGGCCCAGACUCCUACGGGAGGCAGCAGUCGGGAAUUUUGCUCAAUGGGCGAAAGCCUGAAGCAGCAACGCCGCGUGAGGGAUGAAGGCCUUCGGGUUGUAAACCUCUUUUUUCAGGGACGAUAAUGACGGUACCUGGCGAAUAAGUCACGGCUAACUACGUGCCAGCAGCCGCGGUAAUACGUAGGUGACUAGCGUUGUCCGGAUUUACUGGGCGUAAAGAGCGCGCAGGCGGUCGAUUUAGUCGAGUGUGAAAGCCCCCGGCUCAACUGGGGAGGGUCACUCGAUACUGAUCGACUCGAAGGCGGGAGAGGGAAGCGGAAUUCCCGGUGUAGUGGUGAAAUGCGUAGAUAUCGGGAGGAACACCAGUGGCGAAGGCGGCUUCCUGGCCCGUUCUUGACGCUGAGGCGCGAAAGCUAGGGGAGCAAACGGGAUUAGAUACCCCGGUAGUCCUAGCCGUAAAC
rnacentral:rRNA from 1 species